rnacentral:tRNA from 1 species
GCAUUGGUGGGUCAGUGGUAGAAUUCUUGCCUGCCACGCGGGAGGCCCCGGUUCGAUUCCCGGCCAAUGCA